rnacentral:rRNA from 1 species
UGAGGAAUAUUGGUCAAUGGACGAGAGUCUGAACCAGCCAAGUAGCGUGCAGGAUGACGGCCCUAUGGGUUGUAAACUGCUUUUAUAAGGGAAUAAAGUGAGUCUCGUGAGACUUUUUGCAUGUACCUUAUGAAUAAGGACCGGCUAAUUCCGUGCCAGCAGCCGCGGUAAUACGGAAGGUCCGGGCGUUAUCCGGAUUUAUUGGGUUUAAAGGGAGCGUAGGCCGGAGAUUAAGCGUGUUGUGAAAUGUAGAUGCUCAACAUCUGCACUGCAGCGCGAACUGGUUUCCUUGAGUACGCACAAAGUGGGCGGAAUUCGUGGUGUAGCGGUGAAAUGCUUAGAUAUCACGAAGAACUCCGAUUGCGAAGGCAGCUCACUGGAGCGCAACUGACGCUGAAGCUCGAAAGUGCGGGUAUCGAACAGG